rnacentral:rRNA from 1 species
AACGGGAAACCGGAGCUAAUACCGGAUAAUAUAUUGAACCGCAUGGUUCAAUAGUGAAGGACGGUUUUGCUGUCACUUAUAGAUGGAUCCGCGCCGCAUUAGCUAGUUGGUAAGGUAACGGCUUACCAAGGCAACGAUGCGUAGCCGACCUGAGAGGGUGAUCGGCCACACUGGAACUGAGACACGGUCCAG